rnacentral:sRNA from 1 species
AUGCCUAUAUCCACAACGAACAUCAAUCCCAUACAUCCAAUAGCGACCAGUUCUGAGUGGGAAAAGAUAACUCAACUUGCCGAGAAAUUUGAGCAAGUCUCCCUAAACGAUCAGAAAUCCGUCGGGCGGCCGUCGGUAGCCGAAAAUUUAGCCAAGUACGCGGACAACAGUACAAGUCUAGAAUGCAAAUCCGCUUCCGGAAAAUCACAGGAUGAUGACAAGCAUGUCGUACCAGCAUGUUCAACGGAACCUUAUCAGAAACAGACGUCGAGUCAACACGAUGACAAAAGCGAUGCCACCAUAGACAACACAAACGAUGAAAAUUACGACGAAACACAGCAAUCCGAGUCUGGCAGCAGAGAUCAAAAUAGCGAACCACCAGCACGUGAAAUGCCGGUCUUUGGUGAAGAUCGAAGGAUUGCUGAAAUUUUUGUAGAUGGAAAAACGCAGUACAGCAAACUAUUAAGAAGUGGGCCACCAAAUAUUUAUUUGCUGAAUGCGAUUAAAAAAUCAAAUGGCAACGACUUCAAAUGGUUUGACAUCUGCCGGCCCGGCGACGCUUUGCAGUCGCCAGAUCCAAAGAAACACAAAAUCAUUAUUUUGAUGGGUGCCACUGGAUCGGGUAAGAGCACUCUAAUCAACGGCAUGAUCAACUACAUCUUGGGAGUCCGAUGGAACGAUUCAUUUCGUUUCAAGUGCGUCCGCGACGAAGAGAACGUUAAGAGUCAGGCGUACAGUCAAACGAGUUCUGUAACAGCCUACACUCUCCACCAUCGAGAAGGAAUGACCAUUCCGUAUUCCAUCACCAUCAUCGAUACGCCUGGCUAUGGGGAUACAGGUGGAGUAAAAAAGGACAAGGAAAUAACGGCCAAAAUCCACCGUUUUCUAACUCAACAAGAAACUCGAAUCGACGAGAUUCACGCCGCUUGUUUUGUGGCCGCAUCGGGCGACAGUCGACUGACGGCCACUCAACGUUACAUCAUCGACUCUGUGCUGUCCAUCUUUGGGAAAGACAUGAAGGAGAACCUUCGGUUGUUGGUGACGUUUGCUGAUAAUGAUGAUCCUCCUGUUGUGGAAGCCUGUAAAUUGGCUAAUUUUCCAGCGACGCCCGCAUCGGACGGCAUUACUUACAGCAAAUUCAACAGCGCCGUUCUCUAUUGUUCCAAUGUAAUACAAGAAAAUGAAUUGAGUUUUGACGAACUUUUCUGGGACAUGGGUCAAGAAAAUUUCCACAAGUUUUUCACGAUGCUGGCCGAAAUGGACGGUCGAAAUCUUACGUCUACUCGAGAAGUCAUCCAGCGUCGUCAACAACUAGAGCAGUCACUGAAAGACAUCGAGUGUGAGUUGGAAGACUUUCUUCUUAACAUCGAAGAAAAUCGAAAAGAAUCGCCAAAAAUUGAGGAAAUACGACCACAAUAUGGAAACUAACAAGAACUUCGUUCAGGAAAAAACGGAAAUGCGUCUCAUCGAGGUUGAUUGUGACUAGGGAUUCAAGGCUUAUAACUGCAAAAUUUGCAACAAUACUUGUGAAAUGCAUUCACAUUCGUUACACAUAUUUCCAAAAUAGACAAUGUGAAGACAGAUCCUGCCAAUGCUCGGGGUCAGAUCACGAAUUUCAGCCGUUUACGUGGACCCUAGUUCCAGUAAAAGUUAAAACGACUCGAAAUGAUAUGAAGGCUGAAUUUGAAUUCAACUCUAAUCAAAAAUUGAAAACCGAAGAAAUGAUGGAAAAUUGUUCACAUGAUCUAGAUAUUGCUAAAGUCAAAGUAAUCAGUUUAUUGGAACAAAUAGGUGUCAACGCUAGCUCAUUGGAUUCAACAGCACUUCGCUCAAAUGCGCUCAAUCCCACCGAGUACCUCAGCUUGAUGAGGAGUCGUAUCUUGGAAGAACAACCACCUGGCUACGAAAUUCGCUUACAAACUUUAUCGGAUCUACAACACAGUUUGAAUGCAUCCGCCAAACUAUCGGCCGAAAAGGGACAGUCACGUGACUCUAACGUGAUAACCCAACCAGUCAAAAGUGACAAAGCUUCACGCGGUCGUGGUUCACUUUUAAGAACGUCAGCAACUGGCACCGUUGGUGCAUUGGAAUUCAAACCUGGCUAUUAUGGAAAAAAUGGACGGGAUGCAACGCCUUCACGAUCCAGUCAAAAUUCUCAUCCCGGAGCAUCAGUUGGACAAAGAACUGGAAAUGACCCCCGGGAAUUGCAUCGAACGCAUCCUCUAUUACCCCAAUGUGUGGACCAUCUCGUGGUCGUGGUAGGGGAAGAGGUGGUCCAUCAAACCCAAAAGGAAAAGCUGGCAGCGCCAUUCAUGGUACUUAUACCCAAUCGCAAAAAGACUCUGAAGAAGAACACCAAUCCCCUGAAAUGUCCAAAAGGCGUUGUUCCAAUGAAGACGGAGAUUGUCAAAAUCUGGAUGAAUCAACUGAUUCGUUGACAAACCCAUCAUCCCUAUUGCAUGCAAGAACUAGUGAGGGUGAUGAAACGAAAGGAGUUCCAUUGUUAAAUCAACCAGGAGAUGAUACAGAAUACCACUCGCUUGACGACAAAACCAAACAAUGUGAGGAAACCGAGAAAACUGAGGAAACAGGGAAAAUAAUGAAAUUCUUUAAAACAAAAAUUGUUGACCCAAUAAGAAAUGCAUUUUAAUCUCUUUUGGUUUUGUUAUUUCCAGUGAUGGGAAACCAAAUCUUGAAUAAAAUAAUCGUGAUAUUAGCUUUCAUGAUGUUUGCCUCGCACGCUUAUUUAUCCUACUCACUUUGGAUAUUUUCCAGGUAUCGGGAAAAGGACGAGAACGAAAUACUUUUAGGUCUUCACAGGACAAAGCUAAAGUCGAUUGUACGAUAGCGAAACGAAUGUUGCAGACUUGUCAAAGAACUCAUGGUAUAAUUUAUUCUCGUGGGGAAUAAAAAAUUAAUUCGUACCGAAUGUGGGAGGAAAGACGGACAGCUUCAUGAUUCUACGUAAAAAAUAAGGUCUUUCUCUCAACUCUCGUUUUGGCAGUUUGCGUUAUGACUUUACGAUUUUGGAGUUCAGUGAUUCACAGGAUGACAAAGGCUCGUCUGACGAUGGAACUGGAUGAAAUAGAACAUCUGAAAACAAGAAAAUCGAUAAGAAAUCAAAGUGGAUUUUUGCUUUUGUCCGUCGCAUAUUUGUUUCAAUGUUCCAGACUAAUAAAUGAAGCUCGUUUAGUUAAAAGGUAUCGUGAGAUCAGUCCUGUUUCAUAAAAGCCAAUUCAGAAUUGUUUCUUGAAGUUUUUCUCCCAAAGAUACUAUGGUUUUUGUGUGUAGUGAAUCUAUUUUAAUGCUGUCUGUUCUUUAUGCAUUUUGUUUGCUAGCAUGUCUGGAAUAUAAUAACCCUGACAGUUCCUGUUAGUCAAUUACACAGUUCACCAAA